rnacentral:rRNA from 1 species
AACGAACGCUGGCGGCGUGCUUAACACAUGCAAGUCGAGCGAUGAAACACCUUCGGGUGCGGAUUAGCGGCGAACGGGUGAGGAACACGUGAGGAAUCUGCCUUCCACUCUGGGAUAACUCCGGGAAACCGGGGCUAAUACCGGAUACUUUCAACUGGCGGCAUCGCCGGUUGAAGAAAGUUUUUCGGUGGAAGAUGACCUCGCGGCCUAUGAGCUUGUUGGUGAGGUAAAGGCUCACCAAGGCGACGACGGGUAGCCGGCCUGAGAGGGCGACCCGCCACACUGGGACUGAGACACGGCCCAGACUCCUACGGGAGGCAGCAGUGGGGAAUAUUGGGCAAUGGAGCAAACUCUGACCCAGCGACGCCGCGUGAGGGAUGAAGGCCUUCGGGUUGUAAACCUCUUUCAGCAGGGAAUAAGCGAAAGUGAAGGUACCUGCAGAAGAAGCACCGGCUAACUAUGUGCCAGCAGCCGCAGUAA